GACGAACGCUGGCGGCGUGCCUAACACAUGCAAGUCGAGCGAGUAGAGUUCUUCGGAACAAAGCUAGCGGCGGACGGGUGAGUAACACGUGGGCAAUCUGCCUCAUAGAGGGGAAUAGCCUCCCGAAAGGGAGAUUAAUACCGCAUAAGAUUGUAGCUUCGCAUGAAGUAGCAAUUAAAGGAGCAAUCCGCUAUGAGAUGGGCCCGCGGCGCAUUAGCUAGUUGGUGAGGGAACGGCUCACCAAGGCGACGAUGCGUAGCCGACCUGAGAGGGUGAUCGGCCACAUUGGGACUGAGAAACUGCCCAGACGCCUACGGGAGGCAGCAGUGGGGAAUAUUGCACGAUGGGGGAAACCCUGAUGCAGCAACGCCGCGUGAGUGAUGACGGCCUUCGGGUUGUAAAGCUCUGUCUUCAGGGACGAUAAUGACGGUACCUGAGGAGGAAGCCACGGCUAACUACGUGCCUGCCGCCAGCGUUCGUU
rnacentral:rRNA from 1 species